AUACAGUGUGUGACCGUUAGUCUUUCAACUUUAAUUUGUAGCAAUUUUUGACUUGUCUAAAUUAUGGCAGUCAAGUCCCAUAACAUAAUUUCAUUCAUUAAAUAUUAAUGUGUCGCUGAUAUAAAAAUUUAUAGACUUUUUUAAAUUUUAGAACGAAGAGGGUGCAAGAUGUAUAUUCUUUUUUCAGGCCUAUAGAUCGUGUUUUCUAUCCGCAACUACUUUUUCUUACAACAGAAUCAGAAGUUUCAAAUUAAAGCUUCUGCUUUCUUCUACUGAGGUUGUACUCUUUUUUUGUUUGUAUCGCACUUUGCUAAGAUUAUUGCAGCUAAGAUUGAAAAUAAAAUUAGAAUCAAUAGACCCUUAUAUUGAGGGUCCCCAGAUUUUGUGGGGGUGCUCGUUCCACGACAUACGUUGAAUAAAAUUCAAAGAUUCAAAUAUUCAAAGAGAUACGUCGAAUAAGAUGUUUCAUACACCCAAAUAUGGCCUAAAAAUAUUCGAUCCGUGGAAAUGUGAUAUCGCGGGGCCUCUAGUAUUUGUUUUUUUUUUACUGGGCCAACAGGAAUGCAAUAAUUUAAAAAGAUAAAAAAAAGGUUAAUUCCAUACAAGUCCUUACAAAUAUAGUAAAUUAUAAAUAUAUUUGUGUAAUUUUUAUAUAUUAUUUCUGUAAAAGUUUUGAUAUUUUUAUAUGUCCCUAUGAUUUAUUACCGUUAAAUUAUUGUUUACUUUAUAAGUGAAAUAAUUUUAUUGGCAUCACAAAUAUGGCCCUGUCCCAACUCUUAAUUAAGUCAAUUAAUCUCGUUAACUGACUAGGUUUAAAUAUUUUAUAUAUGUUUAACUAAUUUUUUUGAACGAAUCCUAACGGUAGGGACAUAUUUGAAGAUUUUAGAAUUUUUAUAGAAACAAUAUAUAAAAAUUAAAUUUUAUAGAAAUAUAUUUGUAAUUCAAUAUAUUUAUAAUAACAAAUAUGAAAUUAACCUUAAACAAAACACGGCAAGUCAUUAGCCAAUGAGAGUGUCAUAUAUUCUUAUGAGAGUGGGCUGGUAUGCUUCUGGAAGCACGGAGCCCUCCGUGUUUCCAAGUUGUUUUCGAUGUUCGGACUUUUGAAUCGACAAUCGGCUCCGUUAGAGUUGAUCUAGAGUAUUUGAAGUAUCUAAAAAAUAAAUUUUAUGAUUUUUCGAUAUCAUUUGCCUAGUGAUCGAAGCGGCUCAAAAUCAAUAAUUUUAAUAGCCGUGGUGAGCCGUUUGCAAGUUUAACGGUGUAGAAAUAUCCAAAUCACAUGAAAUUUUGAUAGAAAAUUUUUUAUACCAUAUAAAACAAGAUCAAUAACUUUGAUAUAAAAUUUUAAUGUCAUAUCAUCAUAUUUUAUAAGAUUUUUAUUUUCAGCCGUUGAUUUUGAGCCACUUCGAUCACUAGGCAAAUGAUAUCGAAAAAUCGUAAAAUUUAUUUUCUAAAUACUUCAAAUACUCUAGAUCAAGUCUAACGGAGCCGAUCGUCGAUUCGAAAGUCCGAACAUCGAAAACAACUUGGAAGCACGGAGCGCUCCGUACUUCCAGAAGCAUACCAGACGCACUCUUCUUAUGAUGGGUAAUAUCUGUUGGUCAUGACUCUGUUGACUAUUUUGCUUUGGAGUUAUCCUUUUCCGGAUAAGAGUAGUUGUUAUCCAUUUCACCUUUCACGGAACUAAAUUAUGUGAGUUUAAUGAGUAUGAUGAUGAUGAUGAUGAUGAUGAUGAUGAUGAUGAGUUCUAGACGCAACGCAUAAUUCUCUCUGUUGAUCGCGUUUAUCUCUUGUUUGACUAUUGGGUUAACAAAUAGAUUGCUAUUCACAACAAACACUAAUUUCCUUUUUCCUUUAUUUGGGUAAAGAGGUUUGAACUUUUAAUUUUGAUAAUAAUUAUAUGUCCCAAACUUUAUUAGAUAGUUCGAUACGCUAUUCUCCUCGAUUAAAAUUAUUAAUUAGUUUUAUAAAGCUUUACAACACAAAUAGAUUUAUUUUUUGUAUUCUUUCGUGUAAAAAAAAGUGUUAAAAAUUAAAAUUUGGUUCUACAUAUUCUUCACUCAUCAUGUUUAGUUAUGAAAAUUAGAAGAAAAAUAUAUAUUCUGCAUUCCCCACUGCAUCCAACCAAACUGCGCCUUGUAAUGGGCUUUUGGGUUCAUCUAACUCACUCGCACCAUAUAUUUAGGCUAUUUUAUUGGUCGGAUUUCAAUCGCGAAGAUAUUGUGACACCCUGCUUUCUAUAGAGAUUACACAUCAUACGAAUACUCUAGUCUUAAUCCGCUUAACUCUCUAAUAUAUAUAAUAUAUCUAAUAUACAUGACUAUUUUAAAUUCUAAGAAUGUCACGGAUAUAGAACUAUAAAAAGUUAUGGAUCAUUAUAUAGAAAUAAAAACCUAGAAUGCCUUAUAUUCUCACUUGAGAUUGAGGAGAUGGACUACUUUUUUUUUUUCAAAAAAAAAAAAAUCUUUCAUUUUCUAAGGUGUUGCUCAAGCUACUGCAACAAUAACAAGAGUGUUGUUGUGUUCCAUAGACUAAAACAUGCGAACAAUAAUAAAAUGGACAAAUCAAGAUGAAUUAUUAUCCAGACAAAAAAGCCAUCACAGACGAGGACAUGUUGCCAUCUGGGAUUAAUAAAGUCUAACUAAAAGAUUUUUGAUAAUCUAACAAGUACUUAAAAAAAGAGAUUAAAGAAUUUGUUAGUGAGUUUUCGUCGUGUCACAUUAUUUAAUUUGCCUACGAUGGAUAUAUAUACACAAUAUAUUACUGUAACGACUUAGCCUACUAAUAUUUAAUAUCGUGGUCACAUGUGGCUGGGAACGAAAUCAGGAAUUAAAUUCGAGGGGAUCAAAAAUACAAAAUAUAUUUAUCUUUAAAAAAUUUGUAAAGCAAAUUAUAAUAAAUGUUCGAUAUACAGGGCACAAGCUUUUUACUCUCUUUUUUUUUUUUUUUUUUUUUUGACUUUGGCCUCUAAAAUUUAUAGUAUUUAAUUUUAUUUUAUUACACCAUAAAUGAGGACUUUUAUGUAGAUUUUAAAAAGUUGAGAAGGGCCAUUGCCACCUUAAGCUUCUCAAUAAUUUCGGCUCUGCAUUAAAUUCUUGCACUCUUUCACAUUAUCUGAAAUAGAACUAUUUAAAUGUUAUGCUUAUAUUUCAUCUAUUAUUCCAAAAAAAAAAAUCUUAAUUUUUAACCCAAAAAAAGAAAUCUAUAGCGCUAGCAUUAUCAACCUUAAAUGUUUUCUAUUUGUUUUUGUUUUUGUUUUUUUGUUAUUUUUCAAAAAAUCAGGAGCGUAAUCUUCUAAUAUCCUAAUCCUAUCCCCAGUACUCUCAUUGAGACUUGAACCUACACUCUCAUCCUAUGUCUUAUUAAUGGAAACAUUGUCACAAUCGCUCUCCGAUAUAGCGAAUUACGGAUAAGAUAAGUCGUUUUUGAUGAUGAAGUUUUUAAUUAAUAAUUCAUAUGGUUAGAUAUAACCUAAAAUAUUUUAAAUUUUUCAACAUCAAAUUUUAUAAUUUUUUAAAUUAUUAUAAAACUCAUCUAGUGGGUAUGGACUGUCAAAAUCGAAUGAUCUCCUUAUAACAAAGAAUAAUAUUUUUAAAUUUGAGAUCGGAGUUGUUGAUCUUGAUUUAUAUAGUAAAUUAAAAGAUUCUUCUGUACCGUUAAUUCGGAAAUACUUCACACUGGCCGUUUAAAAAUAUAAAUUUUGAAACUCGUUAACCCUAAGCUAUGUAUAAUGUCAAAAAAUUUAUAAAUUUUAGCUAGUAAAAAAAUUGAAUUCUUUAAAUUAUAUUUAAUAAUAUCAAUCAUUGAUUUGAAAUUUUAUUUUUAAAAAUAAUUUAUGAAUGCGAAAAACCACCUUACAUAGGACUUGGUCAAAUACAUUGUAUUAUAUUCACAGCUCACACAUCCACAUCCCCACACUGGAGUCAACGAGGACCAGUCUCAGUGGGGACGGGCCCCACCCCACCCCCACGCGACCCCACCGCGCACGCGCAGGUCAACAACGCCCGCGGAGACCGACACGUGUCCCUAUCGGUGGCUCCGAUCUCACCGACACGUGUCGGCCCCUCGUCCCGUCUCAGCCGCGACGGCGUACGCAGAGAUGCCCCUCGAGGCAAGAGCCUAAUGAAUGCGGGGGUGGUGGGCCCCACCCGCCUAUCGUACAUUUUGACCAAUCAUAAAUUCGCCAAAAAAAAGAGAGGAGAAAAUUCACAAAUGAUCUCGGCCGUCCGUUAUUCUGACGGCUAAGAUCAUCCGGGGAGCACUAACCUUUUAAUUUGGGGAAAAUGAUGGGGUUUAUUUACCGCUUGGGUGGUGAAAAAUUUGUUGGGACCCCUUCAGCUAAAGACGAUUUUCAAAUUGACCCCUUAAUUUUUGUUUCUCUAGAUAAUUUUUUUAAAAAAAUUUUAAACAUUUUCAUAUUAAACUAAUUUGGAAACUCUACUAAUGAUUUACUUUUCACCGAAUAAAAAGUACAAAUUUUCUUAAAAAUUAACGGUCGUCAAAUUUAAAGUAAACGACAAAUCUUAACUUAAACACUAAUGAUGGGCGCAUUUCUAAAUGCCCUACUGUUGAGGGAGCUGAAUAUAAUUUUUACCCUUUUUUUUUACCCUUUAAAAGAUUUAAAAUAUACAUAUAUAUAUUCCUACAUAAGUUGACUAGUAACUUUUCACUAUUAGGACCAUUAUGCCCCUACAAAUAAUUUUUUUUUCUAGAUACUUUGAAUGAGGAUGUACUAUUUAUGUAGAAUAAUCAAAUAAACAUGUUUAAAAUAAAAUAGAUAUUAAAUAUAAUUAAAAGAAUAUUUAUUCUGGUGUACAAUGAUCAUUUUAUAUUAAAAUAAAUUAAUUUUAAUCCGUCAACUGAUAUAGAGAGAUUUAUUUAUAAAUUAUAAAAAUUUAGAGGGAUAUAUUCAUAAUAAAAAUAUAUAGAACUUAUCUAUAAUAUACAUUGCAUUCAACUACCAAAUUCUUUAAACUUUAAUUUUAGUAUUUAAUGGCUCUCUAGUAAACUAAUUAUUUAUUUUAAUAAAUUUAUAGCUACAUAAACUAUAUAAAAUAUACCAAUUAAAUAUGUAAAGAUAAACUAUGUAUUUAAAUUUUUAAAGUUGAAAAAAAUCAUUAACCAGCUCAAAUGAUCAAAUCAAAUAAAUUAAAGUAUCAGAAAAUAAAAUUAAAAUUCUUAAAAAUUAGAUAGUUAAAGUAAAAUGGGUGAUAGUUGAGAUAAGUUAUAUUAUACACUUUUUACCUAUAUUUAAUAGUAAAAUAAUUUUAUAAGAAUAGCUAUGUAACAAUUUCAGUGCUUUGUAGGGACAAAUAUGCAAUUAACCCCUUUUUUUCCAUUAUUUUAAUGUGCACCCUCUCAAACCCGAAUCUAUUACUUUAGUCCCUGGGAAUGGAGUGGACUGAUAAUAUUACACAUAUAAUAUAGAAAAAAUAAAAUAAUAAUUAUAGUUAGUAAAAAAAAAAAAGAAAAAGAUGGAAAUUUUUCAUCUGCAUUUGGUCUUCCCCUUCACACCUCCCAAUCCCACCAAAGGCCAUGGAAACACCACCACCCCUUCUUCCUCUUCUCCCCCACCUCCAUUUUGGCUCUUCCCCCAAAUCCAUGGUGAGCUCUCCUUUUCUGGUUUAAUUUAUGGUGUGAUUUUGAUGCAAAACAAUCUAUAAAAGAACCUCUUUUUUGUUGUGUUGUUUUUGUUCCUUUUUAGAUCAACCAAAUCUUCAAAAGAAAGGAAAAAAAAAAAGGAAAAAAAAAAUCUGAUCUUGGUUGCUUUUUUUCUUCUUUUUAUUUUUCAGAUGCUGAAUCACUGAGAUUUGUAAGGCUUGGUUUGUGUUGAUCUUGGUCUGAGAUGGAGGAGGUGGAAGAAGCUAAUAAGGCAGCUGUUGAGAGCUGCUACAGAGUUCUAACCCUUCUUUCCCACUCCCAGGAUCAUCCAAUUCAGCAUAAGAUUGUUGUAGCAGAGACAGGGGAAGCUGUUUCCAGGUUCAGAAGAGUUGCUUCCAUUCUCAGCAACUGCAAGGGCCAUGCCAGGGUCAGAACUGAAAAGAAACCCCUGCCCAAAUUCAACCACAGAAUCUUCUUGGAUUUCCCAUCAUCCACUAGUAGCAGAUUAGAUAAUAGCCAAAGAUCACAGUUUGGUGCUGUUUCAAGGGCCACAACAGCCCAAUUGAGCCCCAAGCUGUUCAUCGAGAAGCAGCCGGUUCCGGAAUUGGAUUCGACUCCUAAGUUAGCCCAUUUCCAGCUCGCGCCGCAGCCCGGGCCUUUCCACUUCCAGUUCCAGCAGCAUGUGAGGUUCCAGAAUGAGGUCUUCCGGAGGGCCGGCAAUGAGAUAAGCUUCAAGAUCGAGGAGUCGAGCCGCGGGGGGGCGACCGCGUCGUCGAACACGAACCGGUCGUUCCUGUCCUCGCUGAGCGUGGACGGCGAGGCGUUCAGUCUGAUCGGCGCGGCGCCAACGCCGCCGGACGUGGCGGCCGCGCGCCCCGCGCCUAUCAAGAGGAAGUGUCAUGGCAAAGGGGAGGAUGGGAAUGGCAAGUGCUCUAGCAGUGGGAGGUGCCAUUGCUCGAAGAGGAGGUUGGAUGAAUCAUAAAAGAGAUAUUGUAUGUUACUACAUUUGGAUUUGGAUUGGUUCAUAGCAAAUAAUUUUCAUUGUUUCAUUGUUUUGGUAGGAAAUUGAGAGUGAAGAGGUCCAUUAAAGUGCCUGCCAUUAGCAACAAGCUUGCUGAUAUUCCCCCUGAUGAGUACUCAUGGAGAAAGUAUGGUCAGAAACCAAUUAAAGGUUCUCCUCAUCCCAGGUAUGUUUACAUGUUGUAAUGAGAUAUUCUCGACUUAAUUCUUUGUGCUGAGCAUCAAAUAGAAUUGCUUGGGUAGCGAAAUGAUCACUAAAACUAUUUCAUGAAGUUCGUAUUGUGAUGUAAAUUAGUGUUGAAGUAGGUUGGCUGCGGACUUUGUGGUGCCUCUUUAUAGUUUAGAUUCACAUACUUGACUAGAUAUAAAAAAUUUUGUUUACCAGAUUGUUUAUUUGCUGGUUACUAUCAAAACAAUGACGUAAAAGUCAUAUCGGUUCCCGCAUUUGAUGUGAUAAUUAGUGUGUUUGUCUUAGGUGGCUCAUUUGUGUUGAAAACAUUUACUUGGUAGUUUUGUAUGUAUUUUGGAUUUAUAUUCAGUUUUGUAUCUUCUUUUGUCAUCCCUGCUAUUUCUCAAUUACAGCAACUGACAAAGUUUACCACUAAAAUUUGAUUCAGGGGAUACUACAAAUGCAGCAGCAUGAGGGGUUGCCCUGCGAGAAAGCAUGUCGAGAGGUGCUUGGACGACCCUUCGAUGCUCAUUGUUACUUACGAGGGGGAGCACAACCAUCAAAGAUCACAAGCUCAAUCGGCGCAGACAUAGAAGAGACUUUUUGAGUUGUAUAACUGAAAGAAACCCAUUCAAGCCUCUUGUUAUGAAAAAUGAUCCGACUUGUGACCUUUUAACGGCGGAAUAGAGAUCCUGAAAAGCAUUGAGAGUUCAUUCCCCCUGUAAAAGCAGAUAGAACAUGGGCGCGUUCACGAGGUGUGGAAAGUGUUGAUCCUCGCAUUUUGGUAAGACUUGAGUUUGAUCAAUUGAGAUUCCCGAUGUAGUCUGAUUGCGAAAAUCUUUGAUGUCAAAAGUUGGAAAUUUGAAGCUGGAACUGUAGCUUCUGUAAUCCUGGGGUGCAAUGGAAGGUCAUGAAUUUGCUAAAAAAAAUUUCUGCUAAAUUGCAUGUUUCAGAACUUCCCUUUCUCUUGCUUUUGUGCAUGACUUAAUCACAGCAUACUCUAUGGUAAUUUUUUGCCAUAUAAAAUUUGGUACAUCUUCAACUUCUUCUGACACUUGAAACUUCCAAGAACCUUCCAGUUGAUGCAGUUCUUGAGAAUGCCAUUGGUUUUGUUAUCAUGAACCACAUGAACUGCAAGUACAAUAUCUUCUUCCUAUGAAACCCUUAUUUUGCGGGCGAUGUUAUUAACACAGUCAUAUUUACUAUUAAGUAGGAGAUUUAUACUGUCUAAAAUUAAUGUUUGUUGGUUGGGGAACAGUUUUUUAUUAAAUAGGUAGGCACUCCACAUGGUACUUACAAUAAUAGCCCAAUCUCAUUAAGCCAUGUAAUCUUACAAAUGUCAAAUCAAAGAUAAUAAGAUAAUUCCAAGUAGAAAAAGAUGAGAGGAAAAAGAAAGAAAUUUGUUUUUGUACUUCUAUGUAAGAUGGCAAUAUGUGAUUGGAUGUUAUAAAGCCAAUCAUUUAAUUCUCUGCUAAUGUUGAUUAAAAAGCCCAAAAUUUUGGAUACCAUUUCCUUUUCUUUUCCUCAUAAUGUUGAUGAGACAUUGAGUAGAGAACUGGAGAUUUUAGCUAACCAAGUUUGGUGCAGUAUAAGCAUUGACUAUAAUCCAAAUCAAAACAAGAUAAGAAAGGGUCCUAACAUAACUUGUCAUAAUAUAUUUACCCAUAUGCUUGGAUAUAAAUAUAUCUGACUUUAACUAAUCAGCAUUAACACUCUUGGAAUCAAGCUAGUAAUAAUAUCGAACCAUAACAAAAGCGCGUGCUAAAGACGCGAUUACAAACUAAACUAAGAGGCUUUUGAUCUUCAUGUUCUUCUUUUGCCUUGGAAUAGAAACCAAGUUUUAAGUAUAUUUAAACCUGGAUAAGGGGAUUGCAUCGGAGAUCGGUAACGUUUAGCUUUAAGUCAAAUUAAUCUAAUCCGUGAUAUGCCGCCGACCAAUCAAGUUUGUUAACAAACAGCUAAGGAUGAAUUAUUCUAUGGUUGUCUUAUUGCCUUUUCUGGGUUCUGAAGCAAUCUUGUGCCUUUGCUUUUCUACAUUGUAAAUGAUCCACUUGGCCAUAAGUUGGGCUAAAAUUUCUACAGCUAGAUUCUUUCUGAGAUUUUCUUUUGUUUUGUUUUCUUUUUUUCCCCUUCUAUCUUCUCUUAAUCUUGAUUAAUUUUUCUACCAAUGCGACGAAAACGCAUAAAUUUUGCCUUGACAUCCAAUUGGUGCUUAAUCCGCACGCAAAAUGUCAUAAUUAAGCUUGGAUUAUUGUAUUGUAGUAUGAUUGUUAUAUUUUAAUGGAGUGGUGGUGCUCAAGGACAUGACUUGUAUAUGGAAUCUUGACCUUGCAUUAAUGCAAAACAUUUUUUAAAGCUCAUCAAAUAUUUGGCACUAAUCUCGAUGUGAACGCGGAAUUAAACAACUCUUAGACUUAAUCCAGAGCUAGGUUGAGCUGCAAAUAGGGUGAUUUACAAAUUAGAAAUGCUUGGGACCAUUCAAAUUGUCCAUAUGAGCUAAAAAACUACACUCUGAGGAAUUAGUAAUCUAAGAAGAGAUGUAGCUUUCUAAAGGGAAAAAAAAAAAUGUCGAAAGAACCAAAUCUUAUAAAAAAUUCUUCAACAGCAAGAAUUAAAAAUUUCAGCUAGAUGUCCUUUAUAUAAUACUUGAGCUAGUCUUGCGAAUCGCGAUAUAAAUAUCGCUUAAUUUAAUUUGUAAACAGGUUUUAAAAUUUUACUGACUCUGAGGAUUUCCAACAAUUGUCAGAUACUAACAAAACAACAGCCCCAGAAAUCUACAUAGAGAUUAUGUAAAGGAACCUCCUCAAACUAUAGGCCAUUUUCAAGUAUUUCCCUUGAACCUUUGUUUUAAAUAAUAAUUAACAACUCCACAACAUUUUAUUCUUUCAAUCUAAAUCCUACUUAAAAUAAUUGAAGAUUUAGCUGAAUUUAAUGAUCAUCCUAUAAAAUUCAUUUGAUCUGAACAUUUAUUAAUUGAUUGAUUAAAGUGCAGAGUUUCUUUUAACAGUUAACAAUUAAUAACUCGCAGAAUCGUCGGAACAAAUCCUCGAAGUCAAUUUAGAAAAAUAACUCAAAUGAAAACAACUUAGAAGGUGAUGAGAUCUCACCCAAUUAGUUGAAGAGUCUACUUCAGAAUUAUGGCCUUUUAUUUAGUCCCAUGCAUGCAAUCUUUUUCUUCCCCCCACCACCCCCCAAAGAAAUAAAUAAAUGAAGGGCUCCCAUCACAAUCCUGCACUGAAUUAUAUCAGAAUACAAACAUUCUUUCUUCUGGCAGAAACUGAAGUGCUUGGUCUGGAAACUGCAUAACACCAUAAAUGGGACAAAUCAAUGUGUGAGAAAUUCUCCAACCCAAUUGCAGGAAUCUGAUUGUCCAAUUGCAGUACUAGAAUAUUAUGAUCACAUCAAGCAUGAAAUUUUUAUGAGCUUAGCAUGAUUUUUAGGUUACCACUUAUGUCCACUUCACAAUACAUAAAAAAAAGGGUUAAACUGCAUAUGUGUUCCUACAGUGCAGUGGAAUUGACAAAUUCAUUACUACAUAGUUUUAGUUACUAAAUACAUCUCUCAAGAGCACUUUGAAGUUGACUUAUUAUUUUCUAUGAAAUGAUCAUUUUGUCCUUGCGUACUAUUUGGCUGGACGUAAGUGUAAAUGCACCACAGUCGAAAAUAUAUGCAGUCGGAUAUGCAGCAGCUGUAGUUAUAUGCAUUUUAUAGAAAUCGCUACAACGAUAAAGAAUUUGUUUGAUUGUAUGCAAUUGAGAAAUGCAUUUAUAAAAUUACAAUAAUUUAUGUAUUAGGUGGUUGGAUUGCUCCCAAUGUAGGGGAAAAAAAAAGAUAGUUUAUGCUUAAAAGGUGAUUAAAGAGGUAAGGUUUAUCUUUUAUUUAAAGUUAUUUUUGUUUACUGCUGCACUUACAACUAUAGUCAAGUCGGGUAUAGUUCUAACUAUUGUAAUUGAGAUUUUUUGUGCAGUUCAACCUAUUGCAGAUAUAUUCAAACACAUCAAACUAAACAUCUAAUUUGGAUCUGAAUAUAAUUAUAAUUAUAGCGCGGUUGCAAUAACAGACAACCAAACAUCCCCUUAAAUUAGUAGCUUUCUAAUUGUAUUAUUAACACUAAUUUUCAUCUCUAAUGUUUUCAUAUUAACUUUCAUAUCAUUCCAUAUAAACCGUAAAUUAUUAUAAAUCUUGAAAAAUAUCUUAAAAAACUAUUAUUUACGAGGGUAUACUGCUUUUAACAGUGAAAUGCUAACUGUCCAUUAAUAUAGUCCACAUGUUGAGACAAAUUUACAUCUUUAAUUGAUGGGAAACUCAUAUGCAAAUGGAAAUUAAAAUUAGUAAGGAAAAAUGCCAAAACUAUAAUUUGUGUUUAGAAUUUAGUCCAUGAACCAUCACCAAUUUGGUCCAUUUCCAUUUUUUUUAAAAGAAAAAGCAUUACCAAUCUUUAGCAAAUAGCUUAGUAGUUUGAUAACACAGCUCUAGAGUUCGACUAUGGUGUUUUUAAACGCACCAAGUACUUGGUGUUUAUAAGUUUUUUCUUCGUUAUAUCUACCUCUUUGACUAUUUUCAUUCGUUAGAUCAUACUAUUCAAUCAAUCAACCACUCACUUAACUCUAGAAAAUCACUAUCAUCUUAACUGUACACCUCUUAAUCUAAGGAUAAAAAAUCUACAAACACCAAUAACUUAAUACUUUUAAAAGCAUAAGAGCUCAAUUCCAAAGGUCUAUAUAAAAAGAAAAAUGAGCACUAUAUUAAUAUGUUGAUCUAUGACAGUAAAGUAUAUUGUACAGAUUUUCAUCCGAAAAAAAAAAAGAAAUAGCAAAAUACCAAAUAAACUUAAGAAUUCUUAAAAAAUAUAUAUUAAAAAUAGAUUUAAAGAGAAUGUAACAAGUUGAAAUUAUGCGAAAACCAGUCUGGAUUUGAAUGAUCCAAAUCCGGAUUAGAAAAAUUAUAUCAAACCCAAAUUUGAAUCCAAAGCCGAAAAAUAUUCUAUUUUGAGAUCCAAAUCCGAGUUUGAAUCUGAAUCAGAUUGUAAAAUUUUAACCUGAAAAAUUUCGAAUUCGAAGAUCUACACCGUUUGCACCCCCAGGCCCACUAUGGAUUACUACUGGGCUACCCAUGUAGUAAUUUGAAUCCUGAUAAUUGAGAAUCUGAAAUUCUAAAGCUUCAUACUGUAAUACUCUAAUAGUCCCACAUAGGACUCGUAAUGGAAAAUGUAUGGGCUCAUGGGCCCUAGUAUUAAUAACGAGUCAAUAAUUUGAACUUAACGAGUUAUUAUUACUAGUGAAUCGGAUUGUUAUACAUAUUAACCAUCUUAUAUAUGCUCUAUAAAAGGGGCCUGAAAAAGUAGUAAAAAUAUUAAGGCUGAUUGCUUAUGUAGCCUUAAAUUUAUCGACUUUUAUAUUUUUUUCAAAAUUCUGUCCAAAAUAUAUUUCUCGAAACUUUCUUCAUUAUACAUAUAUAACUUGUCCAUUAGUUUUUUUUUUCUAAUUAAACCGGGUUAAAUUUAUUUUCAUCUUAACCAAAGUUGGAUAAAAGGUAAAAAAAAAAUUUUGCCCCUAUUUGUUAAUCUAUUUCUUCACCUAUCAUUGUCCAAUUUGUCCCCAUCCUAAUCGUUGUCCCCAUCCCAUCCCUAGAUUUAAAAAUCGCCCCCACUCCUUUCCAAAAAUCAACUCUACCCCUUGGUCCCUCACCCUCUCUUUUUUGCCCCUAUAAUAUAGUAUUUUUGUUUAUAUUUUUAGAUAUAAACUUAGCUGAAAAUAUAAAGUAACUAGCUUUCGAACUUAGAACCUCCGAUAUCAACCUUCGAGCCUUUAGCUUUCGAACUUAGAACCUCCGAUAUCAACCUUCGAGCCUUUUGCCAUUUGCACUAGAGAUGGUCGAUGAAGCAACCUGGAAUAUCGGAUACCAACUUUUGUUGAUGGAGCAGUAAUGAUGAGGCGCGGCGGAAAGAGUUAGAAGCUCGAUCGAUACCAACUUUUCGACCAUGGCUAUCUUCUUAUAAGCCAGAGAAAGAAGAUCAAGAUAACGAUAAAUAAAUGAAGUCGAUGGCCAUUUAAAAACAAAUAAGAAAAGUAUGUGACAGCAUAAGACUAUUUAAGUAAGAAACAUACUUAUUUUAUAAGAAUAAUGAUUAUUCUUAACAGUAUAUUAAGGAACGAUUUGAUUAGAUAUAAUUAGAAAUACACUAUAGUUGGAGAUACACUAUAGUUGGAGAUGUAUACAAUUGACUAAUUAUAUGUAUUUUGUUUGAUUUGAUAUAGUAGAAAAUGCUGCAAUUUAAAGAAUAGUUUGUUAAAUUGCAUGCAUCUGAGAAAUGCACUUUUAAAUUUUAUAACUUCAUAUAUGUGGUAGUGAGAUUGCCUACGAUACAGGAAAGAAAAAGCGUUUACUAUUUUAGAAGUGAUUGAGCAGAAAAGUUAACUACUGUAGUUUUAGCCAAGCAAAUUUAAGCGCACUUACAGCUGCUGUUGCAGCUAAAUCUCCUCAUACAAUUCUAAUUAUAGCAAUUAGAUUCAACUGCUAAUAGAAUCUAGGACCUUACACUAUACAGAUUUCACCUAAAGAGGGUAUCCAAGCCAAAAACUAAAAUGACUAUCUAUAACCCGUUAUAGUUCUAAGCAGCGAAAACUCGAAAAAAUUUCAAACUGAUACAAGCAAACAUGCGAAUGAUGGAGUUAAACAACAAGUGCAACAAUUUCAUAUUAAUGGAAACACUAGCGAAAAAUUUUAACUUUUAAGUACUUAUCUCAGUUGAUCUAAGUAGGUAACACAUAAGUUCCCCAUAAAAUUAAAGAACAACUCCGACGAAUAGAACUGCUUAACAAAAGUCUCAAAGGCGAAUUGAGAGCAAAACGACAUCCUCCUCAUUUCAGAGGAAUGAACCUGGAGGAGUGGGUGGCACCGAUACCGGGCCUGCCGUGCUUGACCGGCUUGUAGGAGAUGGAGAACUCUGCAAGGUAGUGGCCGAUCAUCUCGGGCUUGAUCUCAACCUGAUUGAACGUCUUCCCGUUGUACACCCCGAUGAUGCUCCCGAUCAUCUCGGGCACUAUGAUCAUGUUGCGGAGGUGGGUCCUCACGGGCUCAGGCUUCUCACCAGGAGGGCCCUCCUUUUUCUGUACAUAUGAAGUGAUUUAAGACAACAGCAGAAAAAAAAAAAAAAAAAAAGAGCACAGCAGAAAAAAAAAGGAAGAGCUUAGAUUUAACUCAACAUAACUCCAUUCAUCGGUGCUACUGCUCUACCAAAUCACAAAAAUGUAGAGGAAUCAUCUGCUCGUAUCAUGAAGAACUAUAUUACACUGCUUCAAAUUAAAAGAGUAUUUCAACAAAUCUACACGUGAAUGCCUUCUACAAUGGCUUGAGGGCUCUUGAACCUAAAAACUGACCCCAAAAAAAAAUCCAACAAAGCCUCAUUGGUUAUCGUUGGGAACCCUCACAACCUUUUAACAGCAGCAGUUUUUCAAAUCACAGAUACAAUAAUUAGAAAGAAAGAUUUAACACUUAUUUCAAACAAUUCUAAACUAAAAAUCAGAUCAAAGAUCAAAUCCAACAUAUAUUCAAUUUACAGGUAUUGGAAAUUUUGUGAGUAUGAGCUUAGAAGAAAAAUUUUGGGGCUAGGGCAGGAAAAAUUGAAAAUUGAAACAAGGAUACAAAAUGGAUCCCAAAAAUGACCAAGUGGUAUAUGUAGUGUAACGACCUAGCUCACUAGCACUAAUGACUUGUUGGGCUCAAACCAACGGCCCAAACUGCUCAAGCCGAAGUUAUUAGUAAUACUGCCUAACCAUAUGUAGAGCUCUCACACUCUCCCACAUUAUCCAAUAUAGGAUUACUGAAAUGUCACAAACUCUUCCCAUUUAGGCCCUGACAUGCUUGUCAGGCCCAAUUAAACACAAGCCUAAGAUCACUAGCAAACAUAAGACCCAUCUCACACUUUUAGUUAGCCAUUCUGGCUUCAAUACGAAACACAAGGACCCAAUCCUCCAACACCAGUAACUUUUUGGGCUCAAACCACUAGCUGAAAACGCUUGGGCCCAAGUUCUUAGUUAGCCAUUCUGGCUCUAAUACGAAACACAACGACCCAGUCCUCUUAACACCAGCAACUUUUUGGGCUCAAACCACUAGCUCCAAAUGCUUAGGCCCAAGUUCUUAGUUAUAAUGAGCCAGGUAUAUAUAAGGCUCUCACGCUCUCACAUAUUAUCCAAUGAGGGACUAUCGAAGUUUCACAUGUGACCUGAGCCUCUAUACGAUCUCAACGGACACAAAUAAAUAAGCCUCAUUGUUUAAGCCAAAUUAUAUGUUUGCACGACAGAGACAGUGGCAUAAAUCUACAGCCAAGUUCCAGCAGUGAUUGGAAAGAGACCCACCAAAACAUAGUAAUGGGAGAGGAGAAGAAAUCUAUGGAUAGGAAAGGAUGAAGAUAUCAAAAAAGAAAAGGGGCAAGAAGAGGUGCUCUGCAAAGCGUGAAGAAGGAGCUAUUAGAACCUAAAAUAGGUGUCUGCAGUCUACGCAGGAUCAGAUUCAUGAUUAUUCAAAUAUGCGUAUGGGCUGGUUGGGCUGGCCUAUUGUCAAACCUUCCUCAGGUCGGAGAGUACAGAUCUUUUGGCCCAAGUAAUCGAUCAUAAAAUCAGACUAAAAGUACACAGUUGAUCAUCAAAAACAACAAAAAGUGCUAGAACAUAAAACAUAUACAAGGAUUGGCCGCUAGCGGAAUUAAUAGCUAAAAAGUUCUUGCAUCAACCAAAUAGAAAGGCAUAUGCCAGUAAAGGGCCCAAGGUUCCUACAAAAAUCUCCAUAUGACAAGGAAAUAUCCACAUCCAACCAAGAAGGCAUCAUAUAUUCAAUUUCUUCGACUCCGCUCAAUACAAUAUAUUUACACCAGAUCCACUCAAUUUACGCAAAAUACAUACAAAUUAUAGACACAAAAUCCACACCUAAAGCAAUGAACAUCCACAAACAGGUAACACGGAGGAAAAACAAAUACAACACAGGUACUAAGAGAAAGAAGAGAUCAACAAAACUCACCGCCUUGCGCAACUUCUUGAUCAAAGCCAUCGGCUUCCGCUUCAAUCCGCGCUGAAACCUAACCCGACCCAACCAAAUCAAAUCCAACAAAAACAAUCAUCUCAACAGCCAAACCCUACCAAAAUUCUCAAUAGGAAACCAAAAAAAAAAAAAAGACAGAAAAGGGAGUGAGAGUUAGGGUUACCUCCUCCGAGCCCUCGCGUGGAAGAGCUUGACGAGCUCGUCGGUGGACAUGUCGAGGAGCGCGUCAAGGUCGACCCCUCUGAAGCUGAACUUCCUGAACGUCCUCUUCUUCGGCUGCCCCGCCGCGACAUCGGCGUCCACGUCGGCCUGCAUAGGCAAUCGAAAGAGAGAGACAGAGAGAGUGUGAGAUCGCGAUCUAGGGUGUCGAGAGAUCUCAAUGAGGGAGGAGGAAGGGGGAGCUCACCAUUGUUGGAGGAGGAGAAGGAGAGGAUGGGGCUGAGGAGGGUUCUUCCGAGAGGAGGCGGCGACGUGCUAGGGUUUGGAGUAGGGUUCGAGUGGUUUUUAUAGUGGAGGAUCUGUCACGUUCGAAUCACGUGAUCCAUCUCGUUUAUGUGCGUUUGGUGGGUAAAAGGGCUUUUUUUGGCAAAUAGCCCCCGACAAAUUUUAUUUGCAAAAAUAGUCCCGUCUAAAAAUUAUUUGCAAAAAUGGCUCUGCCCCUGCCACGCCAGCGCCACAUCAGCGCCACGCAGGCAGGGCGAGCCCAGAUGUUUAAGUUGAACACGGUGAACCAUUCACCAUGUCCAAUACAAAAAUUUUGUAUUGGACACGGUGAAUGGUUCACUGUGUCCAAUACAAAUACCCCAACAAUGGCUAAGUUUGAGGCAUUUGUAUUAGACACGGUGAACCAUUCACCCUGUCCAAUUAUUUGUAUUGGACACGGUGAAUGGUUCACCGUGUCCAAUACAAAUAGCUAUUUUGUAUUGGACACGGUGAACCAUUCACCGUAUUCAAUACAAAAACUUUGUAUUGAACACGGUGAAUGAUUCACCGUGUUCAACUUAACCAUCUGGCCCGGCCCCGCCCGCGUGGCGCUGACGUGGCACUUGCGUGGCGGGGCCAGGGCCAUUUUUACAAAUAAAUUUUUGACAGGGCCAAAUUUAAAAAAAAAUUUUAUAAGGAGGCUAUUUGCAAAAAAAGCCCUGGGUAAAAUUGACAGAGGCCCCUGAACUUUAACUAUUUUUCAAAUAGGCGCCUAAACUUUUGAUUUUGGAAUUAUAUUCUCUAAAUUUCAUCAAAUAGUUCAAGAGACCUCUUUCCUUAAUUAAAAUUAUUAAUUACAUAAUUGUAUUGGUCAUAUUAUUGCACACAGUUUUAUAAGCUUUAAAACACAAAUAAAUUUAUUUUCUAUUAUUCUAACAUACAAAAGGAGCAAUAAAUAAAAAUUUGGUUGAACCUAUUCUCCACUCGUCAUGAUUAGAUAUAAAAAUUAGAAGAAAUAAAUUUCUUUAUAUCUUGAAGUGUUAUAAAAUUAUGUACAUGAUAUUCAAUCAAAACGACUUUACAAUUAAUAAAUUUACUUGAGGAGAGAUAUCUAUUCAACUAUUUAAUAAAGUUCAGAAAAUAAAAUUAUCAAAAUUGAAAGUUUAUGUACUCCCUUGCUUUAAAGAGUUAAAAUUGAGUGGGUCUCUGUACAUUUUUAACCAUUUUAUUUUAUUUUAAAUUUUUUUUAUGGGUAAAAUAUGUUGUUAUCCUCUUUUGAUCCGAAUUCAAAAUUAUUAAACGGAACUAAAGUAAAUAACAUAAUUUGAUUCAACUUUUUCAAGUUGAUAUAAUUGUUAAAGAUUUACUUUUUGGUUCCGUUUGAUUUUGAAACCAAAUCAAAAAGAAAAUCAAAUAACCAUUGUUUGAAUCAAAUUGUAAACGCACUACAUUGCCAAAGUAAACCAGGUUACUUAGUCAGUAAGGUGAGGCCUCAGAAGAGCUCCCCCAAAUAGCUUCUGGUGAGUGAAGUACCCCAAACCAGUUACACAUUGCAGAUGAAACUCACACUAGAAAGAGUUAACAUUUCAUAUGUGACAUCCCAAGAUUUAGAAGUCUUACAUAUGAAACAUCUUAGAAACAUCUUAAUCCGAUUAUAACAUUUUGGACAGUUGUUACAUCCAAAAGAUUAAAAAGAUUAAGUGCGCUAACCUGCUAGGACUAGAGAAGUUCUAGAAUAGGUGACUCUUCAUAGUAUCAGAGCCAAUCAUUAGUCGAAAGUAUAAAAUGAGUCUUGUGUGAGCAAGGUUCACACAGCAGGCAGAGGACAACUCCCCAGGCUAACAAUCAUGGCGAAUGUUAUUCUCAAACAGGAAAGUUGAAAAUCAAAGAUACUAUAAGAAGAUGCUGAGACAACUAAAGGAAAUGUGAGCCAUCAUUAGCAUUUGCUUAUUUUCCAAUAAGAAAAGGUUUCAGAAAAGUUGAUAUAGAUAGAAAUAUGUAGCACAAAUAUGCAAAACUGCUAUGGGAAGAGAAUGUUAAUCCAAUGAUUUAUCCAUCAGAGAAGAAGUUCAGCGCCCAAAAACAAUUAGGUUUUAAACUAAAAGGCCGCAGUAGACCCAUUCAAAUCAUUCUAACGAAAUUGAGAGCAAAACCCAGGGAUGAAUUGCCUGAAAUAUUGUAUACAAACAAAUAAUUUUACAUCUCUAACAGUACCUAGGAGAUGGUACAACAUUGUAUUCAUAGCUUCAGUUUCCAAAUUUGCAAUACGAAUUUCCAUGAUUUAGUUUACUAUUUGUAUAACUUUACUAAUUAAUCGUAAAACUGCAGCGAAGAAAAGCAAGCGAUCCUGAUAUAUAGUGGUUCUGCCAGUCAUCCUGCACCAUACGCUUAAGAUGUAAAAAUGCAAUAAACACGCACACAAAAAGAAAAGGUCAAAGAAUGAAAGAACAGCAAGAACUGAACAAGCGGCUGCUCUGUGCUCAUCCAAUUCUAAGAAAAGAAGAUCCAUGUAUUAGACAGAAAAGAUAAUCAACUGCAAUUACAAAAAGGACCACACUGAAAGAAUUUACAUAAAGCCAAAUAUAGUUUUCCCUUUGCCAUUUUGUCGGCCACAUUAUUCAUUAGUCAACUUGCUGAGGCUACCGAAAAAGAAAACAAGUCUAACAGCCUACCAAGUACCAAAAACGGAUAUGCCUAUUAAUACACUGUGCAUUUUCAGCUUACUGCAUGAGAGACUUUGCUAGCAUAUGUUUCUUCUCUAUAGCAGCACUACAAGAAAUUAUGGAUCUUUAUAGUAGAAAAGACAGGAAACAUACAAAAAUGGUACUUAUCUUCAAGUCUUUGACUUCAGCUUCAUGCGUGCGAGAUAACUUCGUUAUGGGUUUCAAAUGUAGACAUUUAUCAGUAUCAAUGGGAAAGAAGGGAACAUUAUGGCGUGAGAAAAGGAAAAAGAGGGGGAAAAAAGAGGUGAAUAAUAAUAAAAAAAUAAAUGAAAAAUGAAGCAAGGGGUCAAAAUGCCUAAAGAGAUUAAAACUCAAUCCAGUUACAAAUUCAUCUUGCACGUUGCAAGAUAAUUCCUCAAAUCCCCUAAUAACAACUGAUCAGACAGUUUUGAUAUAUCUACUAUGACCCUUCUAAACUCUCAUAUAUAAGGUAAAAAUCAGAAAAAACAAAUCAGUCAGGUUUCCUUACGAUUGACUCAUAAUUUUGGUAGACUUUUAACUUCUUAAAGUCUUUAAAUUGUUUAGAAUAUUAAAGUUAAGAGAAAGAAGAAGUUUGAGAAGAAGAGCAUGAGAAUUAUGUCGAAUAGAAUCACAUCAAAUAUUUAUUAACUAAUAUCAUAUCAUGGUAGAACUAUAUAUAAUCUGAACAAGAUAUAGAGAACAAUGAUUGUACAAUGUCAAGGUUCGAUCAGACCACAUCUAGACAAACCUAUUCAGACCUUGAUAACAUCAAGAUGGUAGGCAUCCGUAAAAUUAUCGAUCACCAGUUCGACUCUGGACAGCAAGCGAACUUCCCAUCUAUUAAAUCUCUAAUCGGACUAGUUAAACUGUUGAUGGACAAGAGUUGAUGCUAGCAAAAUAGAAAAUCCAGAUCCAGCUAAAACUAGAGCAUGUUAGUUUUGGACCUAACUUGUAUGUGCUCAAAGUAAUCCUCUUCAUCAAAAUUAGGUUGCACACUUGCAUUGUUAGUUUGUCUCCACAAAAUUGACUUACAUCUAUAUGACUAUAUCGUACCUCUUAUAUAGCUGAAGAUGUAUAUAAUGUAUGUAUAGGUUCUUUGUUAGCUGCAAAGUUGCUAUAUUUUUCUAGUCAUAUUCCAAAACCCCUAUGGCCACAUAAAACCCAAUAAUCUGUGAAUAAGGCAAUGUGAAUGUUGUUGUUUUAUGUCAAAGAGCACCUUACGUAACAAAGUUCAUCAGAAAAAAAUGUAAAACUUUGGAAUGUCCUCUACUCUUUACCUAGAUGGAUAUCCGCACUAUCCAAAAAUUGAGAGAUAUUGGCAAUCAACUAAUGAUUAGACUUUUCUCACGUGUUAUAUUAAAUAACAGGCUAAUGAUUAUAUAAAGUUACCCACGUAGACUUUCACAAGUUAUGCAAGAAAAGAUUUAAGCCCAAUCAUCAGGAAUUUCACAAAAUGAUGUAGAAAUUUGCAGUCGUAUCCUAAUCUCUCGCAACACUGGCACAACGAAUGGAUCUUUACCAAUUGAGCCACAGCAGCAGCAGCAAAAAUUUCAGAUUACAUCAUGGAUACAAGUUUAAUUUUCAAAGCACCUGAAAUAGUUCGAUUUCAAGCAACUUUCUUCCAUCAAGUAUGGAAAUAAACGGAUGCAACCAACAGAAAGCCGUUAAAAAUGAAGAAAAGAGAAUGCUUAACACGAGCACUCACGAUCUGUCAGACGAUCUAGCGACUUUCUUUUUAGUUAUCUCUGGUGAAGCAAAUUACGGGAAACAAAGAAAAGCAGUGUAAUCCUGUUCCAACAUCUGUCAAUGACAUAAACUCUGAACAAGGAUUAUAAGGAUUAGUCGCGAAAUAAGAGUUCGCGACACUAACCGCUAACAUGUAGAGGCUCAAUACCCCAACUAUUCUACGCAGGAUGAAGCAUGACCAAAUCAAUCUCUUAUUCAUAUCGAAUUUGAAUUCCUUCACAGUAACAGUUCAAAUACCUCUAAAUACCUCUAAAGUUUUUACAGAAAAGGAAUAAAAAACGGAGCAAAGGAGUCACCUUCAAUACAUCCCGCGACUGUUGUUGAGGAUCGAACUGAGGGUCCCCAACACAGCGAACGCGAGGAGAGGGCUAACGUCGAGGGUAUCGAACACGGGCGGGAUGAUGUUGCGGAAGAGGUUGAGGUAGGGGUCGCAGAGGUCCCGGAUCGCGGAGAGGGGCUGGCGAUCCCAGGGGAUGUUGGGGAACCAGCUGAGCAGGACCCGGACCAUGAGGACGCCGCUGUAGAUGUCGAGCCACUUGGCCAUGCCCGCGGCGACGACGGUGAGCGGCGUGUUGAGGUACCCGGAGGGGCGGUCGCGGAGCGCGGCGAAGAAGAGGGGCCCGCCCAUGGGGGAGAAGGGGAGCUGCGGCGCGGAGGGGGGCGGCGCGGCGACGAAGCGGGAGAGGAGGGCGCGAGAGGCGGAGAGGGCGAGGGAGAGGAGGGUGGUCAGGGUGCGGGUGGAGGAGGAGAGGAGAGGAGGGGGAGGGGCGAGGGAGGAGGAGGAGGAGGAGGCCUUUAGGGUUAGGGUUAGGGUUUUGGAGCGGAGGGGAGAGGGGGAGAGGCGGAGGAAGAGGAAGGGUCGUCGGGGAGUAGGGUUAGGGUUAGGGUUUCGGAGGGAGAGGGCGGCGGCGGUGGAGGAGACGAGGGUGGCGGCCAUUGUUGACGUGGGGUUUGGGAAGCGUGAGGGAAGGCGAAGGGGAUAAUGGUGUGGGUUUCGUUAAUUAUUUUGCGAUGUUACUCGUGUAGAAGAUAAAGAGUAUCUAUACUUCUAUACUAUAUACUAAAAUCCGUGAGGAGUUUUUGUUUGCGACGCAAGUCGAUAUGGUAUAGUGUAACUGGAUCUAAGUCAAAAAAUAUAACUUUAUUUCAAUAAAUAUAUUUAAAAUUUAUACUUUUUUAAACAUACAUAUUUUGAAUAUUAUAAAAUAUAAUCAAUAAAUUAAAUUUUAAUUUUUAAAUUGUUUAUAAUUAAUUUUUAAAGGUAUCAUGUAUAAUAUUGUAAAUCGAAUCCAAUACACCAUAAAUUGGUAAUAAAUUGAUAAUAAAGAUAUUGAGUGCACCUUGUGCAGUAUAGAUAAUGAAACUGCUCUAUUUCAAUUGGAUCUAUUGGGGAGAUAAUCUCUUAAUGUGCCAGCGUGUACUCUCUCUUUUACUUAAUUUUUAUUUAAUUUAAUAUUUAUAUUUUUUUCUUUUCUCUUUUCCUCUCUCACCGAGAAAUAUGCAUGUUACUUUCCUUACUCGCUCAGUUUAAUUUUUAAUUUAAUGCUUUCUUUUUUUCCUUUCUCCAAACAAAAGAUAUAAAUAUUUAAAAUAAUUUUAAACUUUAAUUUAGUAAUUAUAUAUUUUUAAAAAUAUUUAAUGUUUAUUUUUUAAAAUUAUGAGUAAAAUAUACUAUAUUUGAAAGUUUAAAAAUGCUCUCUCUCUCUCUGACUUCAAUUUUUACUUCAACUUUUAUUUGACGACAUUAAACGACUUUACAAGUUUACAUAAUGUAUAAUAUAAUAUAAUAAUUGUGAGUUUAAAAAUUGCACCCGCUGCAAAGCAUGGGUAUAUUGCUAGUAAUAAAUAGUUUUUUAUGGGGAUGUAAUAGUUGAAUUAUAUAGGAAUUUUUGGUGCAACUAUUACCACUAAAAAAUAUUGCUGUUUGUGACACAGAAAAAUAUUUUUAUUUUCAGUAACAGAGCAUUCGAUAUUAUUAGUAAUCCAUUUUUUUUGAACUUUUUUUAGGAUUUAAAUUUCAUAAAUCUUUCAGCACACUUUUUUAUUAUUUUAGUGGUCUUAAAAUUGGCUAUUUUAAACGACUAUUAUCAUAUAAAUUUAAAAUCACUAGAAUAUUAGAUAAAUUAUGUUAAAAAAUUAUAAUAUUUAAGUUUUAUAAAAUUUAAAUUUACAGUCGAACACGUGCCGGCUCGCUCAUUCGCUAGCCCUUGUUCUAAAUCAAUUUUCUAAAAUAAGACAAAUUAUAUCAUAGAUAAUAUAUAUAUUAUUCUAUCAAAUCAUAAACAAUAAGACUUUUAAGGGGCAAAUAUCAAACUCCUACUUUAGAAUUAUAUAUAUAUAUAUAUAUAUAUAUAUAUAUAUAUAUACACUGAAUAAGUUAUCAAAUAAUAGAUGAUUCCAAAGUCCAAACAAAGCGUAAAUAGUUCUUAAAAAGGAAUAGGUAGCAAAGUAGAACCUUAAUAAAAGUUCAGAGCUACUAGUACAAUUACCCUAAUUUUUAAAUGCCAUAUGGUUGGAGCAUUACCAUUCAAUUUCACCUCAAAUUUCCAGUCCCUACCACAAAACUGCUUCUCAAGCCCCGGAAUUAGUAACAAAAAGAUUAUAAGCAUUUACUGUGACUAGAAGCUAAUUGAUAAGUUUUUGUUGUAUGAGAAGCUACAGGAGAGAGAUGAAGCUCCAGCAGUAUCAAACAUGCCUCAUAUAAAAACUCAAUUGAAUCUACCUACUUUAAAAGUGCCUUAAACACCCAUAUAUAUCAUCCAAGAGAUGCAGAAAAUAAGGAAGCAAACACUGGCUAUUCACACUUCACAUUGCUCUUACCCCCUGAAAGUCGCAAGUCCGGCGCAGAAGCAGCUGCUGAUCUCAAACCCUAAUAUCGGGCAUUCAACUUCAUACAGUGAACUAUAAAUGAUGUACAUGUGAAAAAAGAUUAGAGCUGCAUAACCGCAAAAAACUUCGUGUUAUUACUAUACCGUAUGCGCAACAAGCCUUACGCUCAAUCCUCUUUCUACAUUAUACUGUUCAAUAUUUUUCGCACAACUACGUGAUCUGAAAGUUUAAAAAAGGGUAAACAGACAUAAUUACUAUUUCAUCGAACGCCCAAUUUAUGAGCUUGUAUCUGAACUUCCGUGAGAGGUUCAGAAUUGCGUCUGUGCCUUGCUCCCCGAGACACUCUCAUUGUGCUAUCCCUGGACUAUAAAGCUAGAAAAAACCAUUACCAUCAAACCUAACCUAGUAAGCUAUAACAACCUGAUCUUCAGCUAAAAUUAAAGCUAAAGAACAUUUCCAUCAAACCCUAACCUGGUAUGCAAUAACUACCUGUCUUCAGCUACCCUCGCAUUCUACACAAAAUCGUAUAUUUUCAGCAAAAGGGACUCUAUAACGAAGCACCGGCUAAUGGACAGCUGCAAGCUUCAAGUGUAUACCAGCUUCCUCCAGCUUACUGCACAGAGUAUCAAAAGGUGAAUAUGAGAGAUGGUGUAGAAAUAGAUAAAACUGAAGGAACAAAAGAAAGAAUGCAACCAAUUAACUCAAAAUCUUAAGAUAUGGACAGAUGGCCCUGUGAAGCAUCAUGUAAGAGAUUAAUCUCGAAAAGCUUCAGCAAAUAGCUUCCCAACGUUGGUUUAGAAAAGCUUAUGCAUUGUGCGGAAAAUGAACUAGAUAUCACACU
rnacentral:lncRNA from 1 species